rnacentral:misc_RNA from 1 species
UGUGGAGGAGGACGCCGAAGGUGGGGCUAAUGACUGGGGUGAAGUCGUAACAAGGUAGCCGUACCGGAAGGUGCGGCUGGAUCACCUCCUAACAGGGAGACAACAAAAUGUUAAAUAUUAAUUUUGUCACCUUAGGUCGAUCGGUAUCUCACAUUCUUAAAUUAAUUUAAGGAUUUUAUUUCCUAAGUUUUUUCUAGGUCACACCCAUUACUUUUUCCUGGGCCAUUAGCUCAGGUGGUUAGAGCGCACCCCUGAUAAGGGUGAGGUCCCUGGUUCAAGUCCAGGAUGGCCCAUAUCUCUAUGUUGGGGGUAUAGCUCAGUUGGUAGAGCGCCUGCUUUGCAAGCAGGAUGUCAGCGGUUCGAGUCCGCUUACCUCCACUGAUCACCACCUCUUCCAUAAUUUUAUAGAAGGGAAUUGUUUUGAGUUGUGAUCAAAUUCUGAACGAAUCUAGCUUCCUAAUCAAACUUAUUAAGAUGCUGGACUCAUUGAAUUAAUUUCAUUGUUUUCAGAGAACCUUGACAACUGCAUAGAUUAUUUUUAAAGACAAUAAGCAUCUUUAAUGAUGCAGAUUUAUUAUUUGUGCGAAUGCAUUAAUAACAAUUCUAUUAAGCUGAUGCUUCAAUUUUUGAAGUUAUUGGUCAAGCUACAAAGGGCUCACGGAGGAUACCUA